rnacentral:lncRNA from 1 species
GUGAAUACUGCCUGCUGUGCUGUGAAUGAAUCUUGUAAACACAAUCAAAUGCAUCUCUCCCUUUCUCCUUCGUUCAGCGACCCCCCCCCCCACUUCCAAUCCUGCUCCGGGAGGCAAUUCCUGCCCCUCCCCUCCCAUUGUCACAGCAGUUCCUGUUUAUCGUGGGUGACAUCUUCAGCUUCAACGCAGCGUGAGCCCUGCCAUGUUGGAACUGUUCUUCGAGCCUCAGCCUUUUCGAUUAAAGCCGCUUCAUGAAUAACGAAGGAUAAAUAAAGUCAAUGUCGCCCUUUUCUCAGAGAAAACAGUAUGAGAGCUUCCCAUUUCGUGUCUACUGUGAAGACCUUCCAAAGCACACGAGUCAUGUGACUCUGAAGCUGCUGGAAUGUUCUAGAAGGAGACUCACCAAUCUCCCUGAGGGCUCCGGGGGAAUUGAUGAACUGUGGACAGACCUCCAGGUAGUGUGGAUCUUCAUCUUGACAGACCGGUGUUGCCUUUUGAAAUCUUUUGUGGUCUUCCCCAUUGUUCUUCUGAACUCCUUUGAAAAGGCAGCGAGCCACUUUCCUGCUAUCUGAAGCCAGCUCUUCGUAAUGAGCAAUGCUUUUAAGAAUUGAGAGGAGUUCCCUUUGUGGCUCAGUGGGUUAAACUCGACAAGGUGUCCAUGAGGAUGCACGUUCAACCCCUGGCCUCACUCAGUGGAUUAAGGAUCUGGCAUUGCUGCAAGCUGUGGUAUAGGCUGCAAAUGUGCAUGGGAUCUGACGUUGCUGUGGCUGUGAUGUAGGCCACAGCUCCAACUUGACCUGCAGCCUAGGAACUUCCAUAUGCUGCAGGUGAGACUCUGAAAAGAAAAAAAAAAAGAAUCAAGAAUACUACACUACCAUUUUGAGACUGAAAAGAAGAAAGAAAAAGACUUAGAAACUGCUAUAACCUAAACACCUCUCUUAUCAUGGUUAGCAUCAUGUUCAAAUGGAUGAAAAAGUGAAAAUUAUGGAUAGUGAAUUUAUAAUUCCAGCAUCAUGUAAUUUGGGAUGGAGGACAUGGCGGUGAUCCUAGUCUCACACAGCAUCCAAUUUGCUUCCCCUCUUUCCCAUGCUCUCUGCUGUUAGGUAGAGCCUUAUGCCUAGGUCUUGCCAAUGAAAUGGAAAUGGGAGUGGUGUGUAUCGCUUCUGAGGUGAAGACCUUGUAGGUUUUUGGUUUUUACUUCUGUUAUGGUAAAUGAAGAGACUGUAUCUUUCAGAAAGUUCAGCUACAAGAUGGUGGAGUCUCCAGCAGCCCAGUACCUACUUGUCUGUUUGGAACUGAGCCCAUCAGCAUGCUUGGAUCGAACAGGUGCCUCCAUAGCAAGCUAGGCCACUACAGUCGGAUUCCUAACCCACUGCACCACAGUGGUAACUCCCUAUCAGCAUGCUUGGGAUGAGUAGCGUGAUGAGAAAUUAUGGUUGGGAUAGGUUAAGCCAUUGAGAUAUGGGGGUUGUUGUUACUGCAGUGUAACAGAGACAAUCCUGACUAAUGCACUAAGUCAGGGCUACUCAGCAAGCCACCAUGUUUGAUGAAGUAACAUGCUUGUGUCAGAGUGUGAAACAGCACACUACUCACUUCCAAAAUGUCUUACCAUGAAUAAAGGUCUGAUAAACCAAACA